AAUGGGACAAUUUCAGAAGAAUUGGCUACCAAGAAUAUGGUCAGUUUGCUCUGUACAUCUUUCCUGGGCACUCGGAAGCCACAUCAAGUCAAAGGUGUCUGCAGUUUUCUCUUGCUCUUUAGAAAGGAGCUUCAUCUCCAUUGGAAAGACUGGGCUCUUAGGGUCUCAGCCUGGUUCUCUCGUGCUGGUAUCAGCAGUUUGGAGCCCAGCAAAUGCUGGCAUGAAUCCACUGGAUAUGGGUGUGACCUUGAGAAAUUGCCUCGUCACCGUGAGUCCUGGUCUCUGGUGUACCUGUGUGCGGCACAGCCUUCCUGACUGUGAUCUUACAGGUAAUGCUUUUCUGGGGCUGCCUGCUAUGGUAGAAUUACCCACAACAUCUUGCAUUAGGGCUACUUUCUGAUAUUAGAGACAUAGAUACUUCAUAACCGUAAGCAGUGCAUUACCACCUGACUCUGCCCUCUGUCUUUGUUCCUUGGUGGCCAGGAGACUACAGUGCCUGCUAUAUAUACACCUGUGCUGUGUCCCUAGGCUUACAACGUCCAGGAUUCUUGAAGGUGAUGCUGACACUGGGAGUGGAGAUGUGGAGAAGGAUAUUGUCCUUCCUGAGAUCGGAUGGAGGCAGGGCUUUCUAUUUAUCUUGAUGACAUCCAGAGGUCACGAGAAGUGACUGACCACUGAGGCUCUGUGUGGCAUAACACAGAACAGCAUCAUCCUGUGUAUUGCAGGGCAUAUCCCCAUCCUUAAGCAGCUCUCAGGUACAACUGAACUGUUCUUGACCACACUGUAAACGGCUGCCUUUGUAUCAGCUGGACACGUAGACCUCAGGCCAGGGCUCCCGGCCAGGCUGGCCAUUAGAAUACACCGGAGCUAUUUCUGAUUCCACUUGAGCCUGGGGCUCUCUGGGGGGGGGGGAACUCAUUCAUAUCUUAGGAGUGGGGUGAGCAUCAAGUUGUUGGUUAGAAGUGAAUCCAGCCUGCAGAAGUUUAACUUUGGCUGGAGAGAAGAAAAACUGGAGCCCUAGUUGGUUCUUUGAAGGUCAUAUGCUGGUAGCUUGGCCCUCGGUAUGCUGAUGUUGAGAGGCAGUGAGGCCUAUGUGGAAGGUGUCUAAGUCAUCGAGGCAUCGCCCUUAGAAGUGAUCAAUGCUGGUUUUGUGGAGUGAGCUCUCAGGCGCAUCAGUUAAUCUGUCUGAUCUCUUCCGCACAGGGCUGCUUCUCCUCCUCCUUAUCUGCCAUGCUAUGAUGAAGCAAGAGGAGCCUUGGCUGGGAAUGCCAGUACAAUGGUCCUAGGCUUCUGAGUCAAAUAAACUUCUUUUCUUUACAAAUUA